CUCUUGUUCUGUUCAGGCUGGACUAUUGCAAUGCCCUCUUGGCAGGUCUUCCAGCCAAUUCUAUCAAACCUUUACAAUUAAUUCAGAUCGCAGCAUCAAGAUUAAUUUUGAAUGAGCCAAAAAUUUUUUUGUUUCUGUUUAUCAAUUUUCACUGGCUACCAUUAGUUUCUUGAAGAUUCUUGAUGUUGCCUGGUGUUGCACUGGCCGUUUGUUUCAUCCAGCUGGGAGCCAUGGAUUUCAUGAGAACCGUAAUAGAAUCUGGCGACUCUGGGUAUCUAUUCUUGUUUUCUGUCAUUCAGAAGACACUUUAAUUCAGUGUGAUGAAUUAAGUACACUCAUGGUAUUACAACUGGUAUUACAAGACUGCAUCUUGCCCUUUAUUGAUUACAUCCUUUCAAUUUUCAGUUGUUUUAAUGAGUGACUAUCACUUUAAUAGAUUCCAAAAUGUUUUUGCAGUGACUCCAUAAAACAGAUUCCCCAUUCUAAAAAGAACCAUAUUUUUCUUGUAUGACAAACAUUCCAUGAUCUAAAGAAAUGUUUUACGGAAGAAAGAACCUUUUGUGCAUUCAAAAGGAUCCUUGGAUGUUAAAAGUUUCUUCAUGGAAUGCCAGUAAAGAACCAUUUUUAUUUUUAAUUGUGCUGUACAACUUAUUUAGAAUGUAUUAAUCAUUUAGUUUUCAAAUAAAAACUUUUUUCUUGAGUUCAUUUCACUUUUGAGGACUAUGAGGUCAUGUUAAACCAUCACAUCCAGGAGACAAGCAGCUCCUGUUCUGUAUAAUCCAGGAAAAGGUAAAAUCACAAAAACACAGGAUGCUUUUAUGGCACCAAAUAUGCUUCUUACUUAAAUGUCUGUAGAGUUUCUAAAGCUUGCUGGUGAAAUGCACCACAUUCUCUCCAUCACAACUCAGAUGUCAGCUCACUCACGGGUGACCAAAACCACUGUUACGAACCUCCAGUGAAGAGUCCAGAGGAGGAGAAGGUUUACAAAAAUUAUAAUAAUAAUAAUAAAACACUUCGGGUUGAAGAAACAAAGAAAAUUGGUUUUCUGUAAAUAUGAUGUUUUAUUUACCAAUUGAAUUAACCCCAAAAGAUAUAACAGAUUCAAACAACUACCACGAGGAAAGAAAAAGCAAACACAUUAAUCUGUACACCCUCUCUCCACUGAGAGAGUAAACCCCCAACACGAGGAUUGAACUUGAUACAUUCUACUGCAGCAUGGACCUAUCACUGGAAAAAACAUGAAGCACUACAUUAUGGCCACUACAUAAGAUGCAUUAACCAAAUAGCUCUUCUAUAUUAGCAGAGAUGUGAUGGUAUUUUCUGCCCUGCUGUUAGCUGAUAUGUGAAUAUAUUGAUUGCUUAUCCAGUGCUCUGCUGCAGAUGAUUUGCUUUCUUAAGAGGCUGGUUUGCAGAGAUGACCACACAUACAGUAUCUUUCCUGUGGGUGGACGAUGACUUUGUAUUUUUGAAAAGAAGCCGGAUUGAGAGCUUUGAACUUCAUCAGCCACUUACGAUUUUUGAGGACCGCUUUCUAGAAAAUGGAGGUGUGGUGAGAAGGGUUGGCGUUGAACCGUACCUAAAAAAAGUGGAUCAUUCUGUGUAAAGUGAUCAGGUUUAUUCUGGCCACUGGACAAGGAAAAUGGAAGAUGUCUCGUAUUAGAAAGCAAGAACAGCUAAGACUGGGAGGUUUUAGAAAAACACAAAUUUACUGCUCUUCUGAAACGAUUAUUUUAUACUGAUCAUCCCCCAUGAUGAAGUGCAUGAAGUACAAACGCCUUAUUGUUUUCUUGAUUUUUCUUGGUGGUUCACUGAGCAUCUACUUUAUACACCGUGGCAUGUUGAAGAGCAAGAAAAGCACACUUGCACACCGGUAUGGAUAGUCCUUUCUUCAUAUUUAUUUCUCUUAGUCUGGUUUCUUGGUAUUUAGAAAAUUCUCAAAAUGAUCUACACUUGUCUUAAAGCACCUGUGCACUGUGGUGAUU